UACGUAGGUGGCAAGCGUUAUCCGGAUUUAUUGGGCGUAAAGGGAACGCAGGCGGUCUUUUAAGUCUGAUGUGAAAGCCUUCGGCUUAACCGGAGUAGUGCAUUGGAAACUGGGAGACUUGAGUGCAGAAGAGGAGAGUGGAACUCCAUGUGUAGCGGUGAAAUGCGUAGAUAUAUGGAAGAACACCAGUGGCGAAGGCGACGAUCUGGCCUGCAACUGACGCUCAGUCCCGAAAGCGUGGGGAGCAAAUAGG
rnacentral:rRNA from 1 species